rnacentral:rRNA from 1 species
GUCCACGCCGUAAACGAUGGAUGCUAGAUGUCGCGGGUAUUUACCCCUGCGGCGUCGAAGUUAACGCAUUAAGCAUCCCGCCUGGGGAGUACGGCCGCAAGGUUAAAACUCAAAGGAAUUGACGGGGGCCCGCACAAGCGGUGGAGCAUGUGGUUCAAUUCGACGCAACGCGCAGAACCUUACCUGGGUUAAAUCCACCGGAAUCCCGCAGAGAUGUAGGAGUGCUCGCAAGAGAGCCGGUGAGAAGGUGCUGCAUGGCUGUCGU